GACGGAGGAUGCAAGCGUUAUCCGGAAUGAUUGGGCGUAAAGCGUCCGCAGGUGGCAGUUCAAGUCUGCUGUCAAAGACCGGGGCUUAACUUCGGAAAGGCAGUGGAAACUGAACAGCUAGAGUAUGGUAGGGGCAGAGGGAAUUCCCAGUGUAGCGGUGAAAUGCGUAGAGAUUGGGAAGAACACCCGUGGCGAAAGCGCUCUGCUGGACUGCAACUGACAUUGAGGGACGAAAGCUAGGGGAGCGAAUGGG
rnacentral:rRNA from 1 species